rnacentral:rRNA from 1 species
CGCAACUGACGCUGAAGCUCGAAAGUGCGGGUAUCGAACAGGAUUAGAUACCCUGGUAGUCCGCACGGUAAACGAUGGAUGCCCGCUUUUCGGUCAUUAGACCGUGAGGCCAAGUGAAAACAUUAAGCAUCCCACCUGGGGAGUACGCCGGCAACGGUGAAACUCAAAGGAAUUGACGGGGGCCCGCACAAGCGGAGGAACAUGUGGUUUAAUUCGAUGAUACGCGAGGAACCUUACCCGGGCCUGAAUUGCAGAUGAAGGAUCCAGAGAUGGUGACGCCCUUCGGGGCAUCUGUGAAGGUGCUGCAUGGUUGUCGUCAGCUCGUGCCGUGAGGUGUCGGCUCAAGUGCCAUAACGAGCGCAACCCCUUUCUUCAGUUGCCAUCAGGCUAUGCUGGGCACUCUGGAGAUACUGCCACCGCAAGGUGUGAGGAAGGUGGGGAUGACGUCAAAUCAGCACGGCCUUGACGUCCGGGGCUACACACGUGUUACAAUGGGGGGUACAGAAAGCCGGCUGCCCGCAAGGUCAGUCCAAUCAAGAAAGCCUCCCUCAGUUCGGACUGGGGUCUGCAACCCGACCCCACGAAGCUGGAUUCGCUAGUA